AGAGUUUGAUCCUGGCUCAGGACGAACGCUGGCGGCGUGCCUAAUACAUGCAAGUAGAACGCUGAAGAGAGGAGCUUGCUCUUCUUGGAUGAGUUGCGAACGGGUGAGUAACGCGUAGGUAACCUGCCUUGUAGCGGGGGAUAACUAUUGGAAACGAUAGCUAAUACCGCAUAACAAUGGAUGACACAUGUCAUUUAUUUGAAAGGGGCAAUUGCUCCACUACAAGAUGGACCUGCGUUGUAUUAGCUAGUAGGUGAGGUAACGGCUCACCUAGGCGACGAUACAUAGCCGACCUGAGAGGGUGAUCGGCCACACUGGGACUGAGACACGGCCCAGACUCCUACGGGAGGCAGCAGUAGGGAAUCUUCGGCAAUGGGGGCAACCCUGACCGAGCAACGCCGCGUGAGUGAAGAAGGUUUUCGGAUCGUAAAGCUCUGUUGUAAGAGAAGAACGAGUGUGAGAGUGGAAAGUUCACACUGUGACGGUAACUUACCAGAAAGGGACGGCUAACUACGUGCCAGCAGCCGCGGUAAUACGUAGGUCCCGAGCGUUAUCCGGAUUUAUUGGGCGUAAAGCGAGCGCAGGCGGUUAGAUAAGUCUGAAGUUAAAGGCUGUGGCUUAACCAUAGUACGCUUUGGAAACUGUUUAACUUGAGUGCAGAAGGGGAGAGUGGAAUUCCAUGUGUAGCGGUGAAAUGCGUAGAUAUAUGGAGGAACACCAGUGGCGAAAGCGGCUCUCUGGUCUGUAACUGACGCUGAGGCUCGAAAGCGUGGGGAGCGAACAGGAUUAGAUACCCUGGUAGUCCACGCCGUAAACGAUGAGUGCUAGGUGUUGGAUCCUUUCCGGGAUUCAGUGCCGCAGCUAACGCAUUAAGCACUCCGCCUGGGGAGUACGACCGCAAGGUUGAAACUCAAAGGAAUUGACGGGGGCCCG
rnacentral:rRNA from 1 species